rnacentral:rRNA from 1 species
GAUGAACGCUGGCGGCGUGCCUAAUACAUGCAAGUCGAGCGAACAGAUAAGGAGCUUGCUCCUUUGACGUUAGCGGCGGACGGGUGAGUAACACGUGGGUAACCUACCUAUAAGACUGGGAUAACUUCGGGAAACCGGAGCUAAUACCGGAUAAUAUUUCGAACCGCAUGGUUCGAUAGUGAAAGAUGGUUUUGCUAUCACUUAUAGAUGGACCCGCGCCGCAUUAGCUAGUUGGUAAGGUAACGGCUUACCAAGGCGACGAUGCGUAGCCGACCUGAGAGGGUGAUCGGCCACACUGGAACUGAGACACGGUCCAGACUCCUACGGGAGGCAGCAGUAGGGAAUCUUCCGCAAUGGGCGAAAGCCUGACGGAGCAACGCCGCGUGAGUGAUGAAGGUCUUCGGAUCGUAAAACUCUGUCAUUAGGGAAGAACAUACGUGUAAGUAACUGUGCACGUCUUGACGGUACCUAAUCAGAAAGCCACGGCUAACUACGUG